rnacentral:rRNA from 1 species
UACAGAGGUCUCAAGCGUUGUUCGGAUUCAUUGGGCGUAAAGGGUGCGUAGGCGGCGCGGUAAGUCGGGUGUGAAAUCUUGGAGCUUAACUCCGAAACUGCAUUCGAUACUGCCGUGCUUGAGGACUGGAGAGGAGACUGGAAUUUACGGUGUAGCGGUGAAAUGCGUAGAUAUCUGGAGGAAUACCGGUGGCGAAGGCGGCAUCCUGGACCGACAUUGACGCUGAACGCGAAAGCUAGGGGAG